AUUACGCUGCAUUGUACGUAAUGAUAAUUAAGUUUUAACCUUUAAGCUGUAAUAGGGAGUUUUAUAUCGAAGCUGGAAUGUCAUGCCUCCAUUGCUGAGGACGACAGGAACGUUUCUGCAAACACCCACUUUGAGGAGUGGUGGUUUAAAACUUUCUUACUUGCAUACGGCAAGAUGUAGCGAAAGC
rnacentral:other from 1 species